CCAGUGUCCCUUGCAGUUAGUUAUGGCCAUGAGACUGAGUUCCAGCCAAUGCAAUGGGAGUAGUGGAGGAGAUGGGGGUGUGUGCAACUUCCAAGCCUAGCUGAAAAGAACCUCCCCUGUGUAAUGUUCAUGCUCUUUCCUUGUUCCAGGGCACUGGGAUGGUGGUGUCCAGGACAACUCAGACACAUCAGAAUGGUCAUUCAGCCUGGGUUCUUGAAUGACUGUGGAACGGUGGGGGUGUGGAGGGAGAACCACUGACUGAAAUACCUUCCCAGGACUGGCACAGCAGAGAAAACAAACUUCUUGUUCUUUGGGUCACUGAGUCUUUUGGGUGUAUUUGUUACUUCAGCUUAACCAUCCCUGACUAAUACAACCCAGAUUGCCUUCUGCUUGAACAUUUUCAAUGCUGGAAGUUUCACCACUUUUCAAGGCAGUAAAGACCAGGUAGAGCAGAGCCAUGGAAGAAAUGCUCCUCAGAUAAUUUUGGUUUAGUCCUCUCCCCAGUUUAAACUUGCUGUGCAAGCUGACUGAAAGAAAUCUUAUAAAAUGGAG